GAGUUUGAUCUUGGCUCAGAUUGAACGCUGGCGGCAUGCCUUACACAUGCAAGUCGAACGGCAGCACGGGAGCUUGCUCCUGGUGGCGAGUGGCGAACGGGUGAGUAAUGCAUCGGAACGUAUCCUGGAGUGGGGGAUAACGUAGCGAAAGUUACGCUAAUACCGCAUAUUCUGUGAGCAGGAAAGCGGGGGACCUUCGGGCCUCGCGCUCUUGGAGCGGCCGAUGUCGGAUUAGCUGGUUGGUGAGGUAAAGGCUCACCAAGGCGACGAUCCGUAGCAGGUCUGAGAGGAUGAUCUGCCACACUGGAACUGAGACACGGUCCAGACUCCUACGGGAGGCAGCAGUGGGGAAUUUUGGACAAUGGGGGCAACCCUGAUCCAGCCAUGCCGCGUGAGUGAAGAAGGCCUCGGUUGUAAG
rnacentral:rRNA from 1 species